UCCCAGAAUCCAAGAGCUGGGCCAACGG
rnacentral:sRNA from 1 species